rnacentral:rRNA from 1 species
UAAGGAAUAUUGGUCAAUGGACGCAAGUCUGAACCAGCCAUGCCGCGUGAAGGAUGAAGGUCCUCUGGAUUGUAAACUUCUCCUAUCUGGGACGAAAACGGGAUUUUUAUCUCAAUUGACGGUACCAGAGGAAUAAGCACCGGCUAACUCCGUGCCAGCAGCCGCGGUAAUACGGAGGGUGCGAGCGUUAAUCGGAAUUACUGGGCGUAAAGCGUGCGCAGGCGGUUUUGUAAGACAGAUGUGAAAUCCCCGGGCUUAACCUGGGAACUGCGUUUGUGACUGCAAGGCUGGAGUACGGCAGAGGGGGGUGGAAUUCCACGUGUAGCAGUGAAAUGCGUAGAGAUGUGGAGGAACACCGAUGGCGAAGGCAGCCCCCUGGGCCUGUACUGACGCUCAUGCACGAAAGCGUGGGGAGCAAACA